UAUCGGCUGUUGGGUGACAGGGAUGUGGGCAUUGCGCUGGUGCUGUACGAAACCGCUACCGCCCCGGCGUGCCCCCCUCGAUGGUACGCCAUCGCUCCUGAUGAAAGGUCAAAAAGAAAUUCAGUCGGUUACAGGUUCAUCGCGCUGAACUGACAACGAACGGAGAAAAGAAAACGACAAAAUGGAAAGGGAUUCGACACGGCGAUAAAGAGCGUCCGUCGAUAACUGGACAAAGGGACAGCUUCGAAGCACGAUGAUCGGGAUUCGGCUACAAGAGAGAACCGCGUGUCAGAAGAGGCUGUGAUCAAAUCAAUGGAAUCGAUGAAAUUUCGAACAAUUGAAACGGCUGGAGGUUCGAGUUACGUGGUAUAUCACGGGGACGGCGUCCUACUCUGUGGAUAACGUUUGUUGGAUUACCUAUUUACCUCGUUGUUUACGUAACACUGAAUAAAAUUAAUCGCAUUUUCAUCU